rnacentral:rRNA from 1 species
UACAUGGGGUGCAAACGUUGCUCGGAAUCAUUGGGCGUAAAGCGCGCGUAGGCGGUUACUUAUGUCGGAUGUGAAAGCCCUCGGCUUAACUGAGGAAGUGCAUUCGAAACUGGGUAGCUAGAGUACUAAAGAGGGUCGCGGAAUUCCCGGUGUAGAGGUGAAAUUCGUAGAUAUCGGGGAGGAACACCGGUGGCGAAGGCGGCGACCUGGGUAGAUACUGACGCUGAGGCGCGAAAGCGUGGGGAGCAAACAGG